GGGAAAACCACAUGGUUGAGUCGGAGAAGUUGAUCAUGACGGAGAGAACGAGGAACGGCAGUCUGAGCGUUUUCUAACAUGUGUUCUAAACUUUAUGGGGUUCGCCUAUGUGGAAAGUUCUGGUACCUGCAGAAAUCAGGAAAUAUCUCAGUAGAGUUGUGUGGGAUGGUGGGUCAGGAUUUAUACCAACGGAAAAAAAAAUCUCAGUAGAAUACAGUAAUUAAACAAGGCAUUUUCCUUGGUCUGACAAAGGUUUACAGCAAAAUGAUCCAAGGUCAUGUGUAAAGGUCAAGGUCUAUUCUUAUUUACUGAUCUCGGGACCAAGGCCAUUUUAUGAGAUAUUCUACGCUUCAUUCUACGAUCUUUGAAUGAUAAAUGUCAGAAUGGAUGAGAAAAUCUCACCUUCGUAAGCAGUUAAUCGCGCAGUAGAAAAAAAGCCCCAUCUAAUCCCUAAGAAAACGUAAUGCGCCAUAUCUGUCUGUAUUAAUUAUCAGGGAUUGCAUAAAUAAUGCACUCAGAUCAUUUUUUGGAGGUCUUUGAUUUAGAUCACUCAGGGCUUAAAAUAAGAAGAUAGAACUGAUACCAAAGUAAUUUAUUAUUUUCUGCCUUUUUUCUUUCUUUCUUCACGAUGACAUCAUAAUGAAUUAUAUAACAGUUGAGUGAAGGGGAAAAAAUGUCCCAAGGUCUGGGAUUAUGAGUCAUUUGGAGUAAUCAUAUCCAGAAAAUGCAAAAAUUCCUUGAAGCCCCCAUCCCCCUUCCCUCAAUUUUGCUCUCUUUUUUGCAGAAUUUAUAAGGAAUCGAAAUGCCAUUUUUUUUUUUUUUUUUUCAAAAUUUAAGUUGAUUCUGGAUAAGAUGUUUGUGCCUUAUGUGAGAAAUUGAAAGGGGUAGGUAGUAUAUUUUAACAGCAGUCGUUCACAUUAUCUCCGAGCUCUGUCUGCGCCUUCUGCAUAUAUUGAAUGUUGACGAUUUUGACUCACUAUUUCUUGCAUAAUUAACUGUCUUCUGAGCAGUUGCGUCACUUUGGGAGUAAAAAUAGAACUG